rnacentral:rRNA from 1 species
GCUAAACGCGAAGAACCUUACCAACCCUUGACAUUACAGGACAUCCCCAGAGAUGGGGCUUUCACUUCGGUGACCUGUGGACAGGUGCUGCAUGGCUGUCGUCAGCUCGUGUCGUGAGAUGUUCGGUUAAGUCCGGCAACGAGCGCAACCCACACUUCCAGUUGCCAGCAUUCAGUUGGGCACUCUGGAAGAACUGCCGAUGAUAAGUCGGAGGAAGGUGUGGAUGACGUCAAGUCCUCAUGGCCCUUACGGGUUGGGCUACACACGUGCUACAAUGGUGGUGACAGUGGGUUAAUACCCCAAAAGCCAUCUCAGUUCGGAUUGGGGUCUGCAACUCGACCCCAUGAAGUUGGAAUCGCUAGUAAUCGCGGAACAGCAUGCCGCGGUGAAUACGUUCCCGGGUCUUGUACACACCG